AGGUGUGGCUCAGCUUGGUAGAGCGCUGCGUUCGGGACGCAGAGGUCGUGGGUUCGAAUCCCGUCGCCU
rnacentral:tRNA from 1 species